UACGUAGGUGGCAAGCGUUGUCCGGAUUUAUUGGGUUUAAAGGGUGCGUAGGCGGUCUUUUAAGUCAGUGCUGAAAUACUCCAGCUUAACUGGAGGGGUGGCAUUGAUACUGAUGGACUUGAGUGAAGUCGAAGUAGGCGGAAUUGACGGUGUAGCGGUGAAAUGCUUAGAUAUCGUCAAGAACACCGAUAGUGAAGACAGCUUACUAGGCUUAUACUGACGCUGAGGCACGAAAGUGUGGGGAUCAAACAGG
rnacentral:rRNA from 1 species